rnacentral:rRNA from 1 species
CAUUCGGUGGGGAUUAGUGGCGAACGGGUGAGUAACACGUGGGCAAUCUGCCCUGCACUCUGGGACAAGCCCUGGAAACGGGGUCUAAUACCGGAUACUGAUCCGUCUGGGCAUCCAGACGGUUCGAAAGCUCCGGCGGUGCAGGAUGAGCCCGCGGCCUAUCAGCUUGUUGGUGAGGUAGUGGCUCACCAAGGCGACGACGGGUAGCCGGCCUGAGAGGGCGACCGGCCACACUGGGACUGAGACACGGCCCAGACUCCUACGGGAGGCAGCAGUGGGGAAUAUUGCACAAUGGGCGAAAGCCUGAUGCAGCGACGCCGCGUGAGGGAUGACGGCCUUCGGGUUGUAAACCUCUUUCAGCAGGGAAGAAGCGAAAGUGACGGUACCUGCAGAAGAAGCGCCGGCUAACUACGUGCCAGCAGCCGCGGUAAUACGUAGGGCGCGAGCGUUGUCCGGAAUUAUUGGGCGUAAAGAGCUCGUAGGCGGCUUGUCACGUCGGUUGUGAAAGCCCGGGGCUUAACCCCGGGUCUGCAGUCGAUACGGGCAGGCUAGAGUUCGGUAGGGGAGAUCGGAAUUCCUGGUGUAGCGGUGAAAUGCGCAGAUAUCAGGAGGAACACCGGUGGCGAAGGCGGAUCUCUGGGCCGAUACUGACGCUGAGGAGCGAAAGCGUGGGGAGCGAACAGGAUUAG